rnacentral:rRNA from 1 species
AACUCUGAACCAGCCAUGCCGCGUGCAGGAAGACUGCCCUAUGGGUUGUAAACUGCUUUUAUACAGGAAGAAACAGUGCUACGUGUAGCACCUUGACGGUACUGUAAGAAUAAGGACCGGCUAACUCCGUGCCAGCAGCCGCGGUAAUACGGAGGGUGCAAGCGUUAUCCGGAAUCAUUGGGUUUAAAGGGUCCGCAGGCGGUCAAUUAAGUCAGAGGUGAAAUCCCAUAGCUCAACUAUGGAACUGCCUUUGAUACUGGUUGACUUGAGUUAUACGGAAGUAGAUAGAAUAUGUAGUGUAGCGGUGAAAUGCAUAGAUAUUACAUAGAAUACCGAUUGCGAAGGCAGA